UUUUUCCGAAACUAUAAGAACUAUACUGUUGAAACUUGGUGAGUAGAUGUAUUCUGUGAACCGCAUUAAGAUUUUGACACAAAAAUAGAAGAAAAAAAACGAUAAAUUUUUGGGGUUCCCCAUACUUAGAACUGAAACUCAAUUUUUUUUUCAUCAAACCCAUACGUGUGGGUUAUCUAUGUAUAGGUCUUCAAAAAUGAUAUUGAGGUUUCUAAUAUCAUUUUUUUCUAAACUGAAUAGUUUGCACGAGAGACACUUCCAAAGUGGUAAAAUGUGUCCCCCCCCCCCUGUAACUUCUAAAAUAAGAGAAUGAUAAAUCUAAAAAAAAUAUAUGAUGUACAUUACCAUGCAAACUUCCACCGAAAAUUGGUUUGAGCGAGAUCUGGUAAGUCGUUUUUUUUAAUACGUCAUAAA